GACGAACGCUGGCGGCGUGCUUAACACAUGCAAGUCGAACGGAAAGGCCCUGCUUUUUUGGUGUGCUCGAGUGGCGAACGGGUGAGUAACACGUGAGUAACCUGCCCUUGACUUUGGGAUAACUUCAGGAAGCUGGGGCUAAUACCGGAUAGGAGCUCCUGCUGCAUGGUGGGGGUUGGAAAGUUUCGGCGGUUGGGGAUGGACGCGCGGCUUAUCAGCUUGUUGGUGGGGUAGUGGCUUACCAAGGCUUUGACGGGUAGCCGGCCUGAGAGGGUGACCGGCCACAUUGGGCCUGAGAUACGGCCCAGACUCCUACGGGAGGCAGCAGUGGGGAAUAUUGCACAAUGGGCGGAAGCCUGAUGCAGCAACGCCGCGUGCGGGAUGACGGCCUUCGGGUUGUAAACCGCUUUCGCCUGUGACGAAGCGUGAGUGACGGUAAUGGGUAAAGAAGCACCGGCUAACUACGUG
rnacentral:rRNA from 1 species